CGCCCAGGAGCCACUCAAAUAAGGGAACAUUAUCCACACCAACCCAUUAGAUUAACUCAAGGCCUUAGAGAGACACGACUUUCCCAAACGUCCAAGUUCAAUGGAGGCUAUCCGUUGUCUAAGUCCAUCAUCUCUUCCAUCUCACCCAUUCCUCAACAACCAUGCAACCCAACCAAGAAGAGGCACGCAGCUGCUCGUCCCCAUAAGAACGCCCAAACAAGGAUAUCCUCUACGUUCCCAUUCUACAGUUCAGACUCAAGCUCUCAACAAUGUCCUCGGUGUAGCUGCCAAAUCCCCAGCAGGCGGAGGGGAUAUCUCAGUCCUUAUCCCAAUCAGUGCAGUGAUGUUAUUUAUGUACUGGAUUACUAAUUUUGUUGUGCCGGGGAUAAUAAGCAAAGACUUUCCGCCAGCAGCUUCAGAAGAAGAGAAGGCAUCAGAACAAGAAGCAGAAAAGCAAACCCGAAGAUAAAGAAGGGCCAAAUUAAGAAAACAACCAGUCCGAGAUAAAUUUUUAAUUCCACGCGCUCUAAACUAUCUGUCAGUUAUGAUAUUAUCAUAAGUGUAUGAUUCUGUAAUCAAAAUUCCAGAAGCCUCAAUAAUAGAAAUGACUUCAACAGCUUUAACCAUGCUGCAGCAUUCCAACUUCCGAUAGCUUUGGGUAGAAUUUGAAGAGUUUUUCUUGUGAUAGUCUUCUGUUCUGACCUUUGAGUAGGAUCACCUACCACAAGGGCAGGGUCCAGCAGUGGCAAACACUGAUGGAUAAGGCAGCAUCCGUUACCUGCCCAAGCCUGUCAAAAAUAGAUGCACACCAACUACUGGGUAUGUGUAGCCAAAAUUGGUUUGAGAGGAAUUUCACAACUUGCGGUAACCAGCAACAAAGACACGUUAGUGGUAACGCAGGACAACAGCAUGGUCAGAUAGCCAAAUUAACCCACUGACUGGAAUGCAGAAGCUUUGCUGAGGAAGAACAUACCGACGGUUCUAGCAUAAAUAUUAUGACUUGGAGACAGUUUUACUGGAAGAUCAGAUGAAUCUCUACCGUCAAGACUGGCUUCUUUCAGUAUAGAAUCCAGUGACUCUUUGGCAAUAGUUCGGCACCGUUUCCUGGCAAUACAACAAUUAAUAACUUGUAACUUCUGAUGCAGGAGACAGGAAUUCAAGUCAGGAUCUGCAUCUAAUGGCACUCGAGGCACCGGUUGUCCUUCUGACCAAAAUUUCCUCAGCUGCGGGUACAAAGAAGACAGUUAUGGCCAAGAAUAGAAUGCAAAAGUUUCUUGCAAGUUUAUUAAUUAUAAAGGGAAAAAUAUAUGAAAAAUGCUAUCAAUUUUACAGUACAUGAAAAAAGCCAUCUACUUACUUCGACAAUUACACACCGCCAAAAUGAUGCCAUUUUUUGCAGGGAUUUAAAGCCCCCAAUAAUUUGAGAAAGUCGGACAACAAAACUUUCGGGUGGUGCACCAUGGAGAUCCUUAAGCAAACUGGUUGUAUGAAGAAUCUCUAAGCUAGAACCAUUGUUCCUCAGGGGAAAGUGUUCCUCUGCGAGUGUCUUGCAAAUAUUACAAUUAAGCAAAGGAUCAUAAUGUGACACACUCACACUGCAAAACUUUUAGGUGUACUAAAAUUGCAGUACAGGAAAGUAGAUCAUUACUGUCAUGAACCUACCUGACUCGAACAGAGAACAUAUCAAAGAAUGGAAUUCCUCAUCA